UACGGAGGGGGGCUAGCGUUGUUCGGAAUUACUGGGCGUAAAGCGCGCGUAGGCGGACCUGCAAGUCGGGGGGUGAAAGCCCGAGGCUCAACCUCGGAACUGCCUUCGAUACUGCGGGUCUCGAGUCCGGGAGAGGUGAGUGGAAUUCCUAGUGUAGAGGUGAAAUUCGUAGAUAUUAGGAAGAACACCAGUGGCGAAGGGCGGCUCACUGGCCCGGUACUGACGCUGAGGUGCGAAAGCGUGGGGAGCAAACAGG
rnacentral:rRNA from 1 species